GUUUAGCCCUGGUUUAGUCUUGGUUUAGUCUUGGUUUAGUCUUGGUUUAGUCUUGGUUUAGUCCUGGUUUAGUCCCGGUUUAGUCCUGGUUUAGUCCCGGUUUAGUCCCGGUUUAGUCCCGGUUUAGUCCUGGUUUAGUCCCGGUUUAGUCCUGGUUUAGUCCCGGUUUAGUCCCGGUUUAGCCCUGGUUUAGUCCAGGUUUAGUCCCGGUUUAGUCCUGGUUUAGUCCCGGUUUAGUCCUGGUUUAGUCCUGGUUUAGUCCCGGUUUAGCCCUGGUUUAGUCCAGGUUUAGUCCCGGUUUAGCCCUGGUUUAGUCCCGGUUUAGUCCAGGUUUAGUCCAGGUUUAGUCCCGGUUUAGUCCCGGUUUAGUCCCGGUUUAGUCCCGGUUUAGUCCCGGUUUAGUCCAGGUUUAGUCCCGGUUUAGUCCCGGUUUAGUCCAGGUUUAGUCCCGGUUUAGUCCCGGUUUAGUCCAGGUUUAGUCCCGGUUUAGUCCCGGUUUAGUCCCGGUUUAGUCCCGGUUUAGUCCUGGUUUAGUCCUGGU
ensembl:lncRNA